UAAGACGUAGGAGGCGAGCGUUAUCCGGAUUUACUGGGCGUAAAGCGGGCGUAGGCGGCCUUUCAAGUCGGAUGUGAAAUCUCCCGGCUUAACUGGGAGGGGUCAUUCGAAACUGUUGGGCUAGAGGACAGCAGAGGGAAGUGGAAUUCCCGGUGUAGUGGUGAUAUGCGUAGAUAUCGGGAGGAACACCAGUGGCGAAGGCGGCUUCCUGGGCUGUUGCUGACGCUGAGGCCCUAAAGCGUGGGGAGCGAACAGGAUUAGAUACCCUGGUAGUCCAUGCUGUAGACUAUGGACACUAGGUAUGGGGAGUAUCGACCCUCUCUGUGCCGAAGCUAACGCUUUAAGUGUCCCGCCUGGGGACUACGGCCGCAAGGCUA
rnacentral:rRNA from 1 species